rnacentral:rRNA from 1 species
AACGAACGCUGGCGGCAUGCCUAACACAUGCAAGUCGAACGAGACCUUCGGGUCUAGUGGCGCACGGGUGCGUAACGCGUGGGAACCUGCCCUUAGGUUCGGAAUAACUCCCCGAAAGGGGUGCUAAUACCGGAUAAUGUCUUCGGACCAAAGAUUUAUCGCCUUUGGAUGGGCCCGCGUUGGAUUAGCUAGUUGGUAGGGUAAAAGCCUACCAAGGCGACGAUCCAUAGCUGGUCUGAGAGGAUGAUCAGCCACACUGGGACUGAGACACGGCCCAGACUCCUACGGGAGGCAGCAGUGGGGAAUAUUGGACAAUGGGCGAAAGCCUGAUCCAGCAAUGCCGCGUGAGUGAUGAAGGCCUUAGGGUUGUAAAGCUCUUUUUCCCGGGAUGAUAAUGACAGUACCGGGAGAAUAAGCUCCGGCUAACUCCGUG